rnacentral:rRNA from 1 species
GUGUCAGCCGCCGCGGUAAUACGGAGGGUGCAAGCGUUGUUCGGAAUUAUUGGGCGUAAAGAGCGUGUAGGCGGCCUUGUAAGUCAGAUGUGAAAUACCUUGGCUCAACCAAGGAAGGGCAUUUGAAACUGCUUGGCUUGAGUACGGGAGGGGGAAGCGGAAUUCCCGGUGUAGAGGUGAAAUUCGUAGAUAUCGGGAGGAACACCGGUGGCGAAGGCGGCUUCCUGGACCGAUACUGACGCUGAGACGCGAAAGCGUGGGGAGCAAACAGGAUUAGAUACCCUGGUAGUCCACGCCCUAAACGUUGGGCACUAGGUGUUGCGGGUAUUGACCCCUGCAGUGCCGAAGCUAACGCAUUAAGUGCCCCGCCUGGGGAGUACGGCCGCAAGGCUAAAACUUAAAUGAAUUGACGGGG